rnacentral:misc_RNA from 1 species
ACAUAACAUGAACAUAAAUAUAUUGGCCAUAGUAGGCCUGACAUCAUUCAUUAUCAUACAUCAUUUAUGUUAUGUGGAAACAAAGUAAAACGUGGGCCUUACAUUUCAAGUUCAUAGUACCAACAGAAUAGGCUCAGCCCACAAAAUUCUUACUGGUAAUGCAUGGUACAUAAAGAUCGUCAAAAUAAUACGUAUCAGAAAGGAUCUUCAACAAAAAGAGUGCAUGCUUCAUCAUACCCAAAAUGUCACACAUCAAUCCUUUGAACUUAAUGAUCAAAAUUUGCUGACUGCUCCCCUACUUCUUUCUCAAAUCCACGUGAUAGGGAACUGCCAUCCUACUUCACGUCACUAUUAAAGUCCUAAAACCACUACUUGAAUGUCUUAGGUGGCUCACCUGCCUUGGGUCCAGUAGCAAGGGCACAAUGAACUAGGGGCAAGUCCCUGAUUCGAUCCUCCCUCCCCCAUGUGCCCUAUCG